rnacentral:rRNA from 1 species
UUUCCAGACUCCUACGGGAGGCAGCAGUGGGGGAUAUUGCACAAUGGGGGGAACCCUGAUGCAGCGACGCCGCGUGGGUGAAGGAGUGCUUCGGCAUGUAAAGCCCUAUCGGCAGGGAAGAAGCAAGACGGUACCUGAAGAAGAAGCCCCGGCUAACUACGUGCCAGCAGCCGCGGUAAUACGUAGGGGGCAAGCGUUAUCCGGAUUUACUGGGUGUAAAGGGGGCGCAGACGGCGAUGCAAGCCAGGAGUGAAAGCCCGGGGCCCAACCCCGGGACUGCUCUUGGAACUGCGUGGCUAGAGUGCAGGAGGGGCAGGCGGAAUUCCUGGUGUAGCGGUGAAAUGCGUAGAUAUCAGGAGGAACACCGGUGGCGAAGGCGGCCUGCUGGACUGCGACUGACGUUGAGGCCCGAAAGCGUGGGGAGCAAACAGGAUUAGAUACCCUCGUAGG